GGCGUCGCUAGUGCGCAGGCUCAAAGCAAAGUUACGCCAUCCUGACUGAACUCUUCCUGCUGACUGGAGAAGCAAGAGGCGGAAUUCAGAGAAAACCGGAAAGAUCUGUUUCUUUUAAUACAAAGUGGACUCCUGGAUGACUAAGGGAGCUGUGGUUGCCACCAGUAUUCGACAUGACCAUAGAGUAUCGGACUACAUAUCCAUUGCCUGGGAAAAAGAUCAAAACUCUUAAGUAUGGUUUCUACAUAUUGCUUUCAAGCCAUGGAAAAACUGAAAGUGGAACCAUUGUAGACCAGGACCAUCUGUAGUUAAAAGCAGGAAUUAAUUCCACACUGAGCCCAGAUUCUGAUUCUGCCCUUUAAUUGUUCUGUGACCUUCACCAAUGUAGCCUAUAUAUUUCACUUUUACUCAUCUGCAAAAUAGCAAUGAUAAACUUAUUGAUUAUGAGAAAAACAGUUUAGCACAUGUCAAAUGCUUAGAACAGGGCCUGGCUUGGAACUGGGCACUAGUAUUCACAUAUUAUUGUUGUUUUAUUUGCUUUAGUAAUAGGCAAUGUAACUCCUACACAGGCUCCAUUCCACUUCUGUCUCCUCUCAAGUGUGUUUCCCUAACAGUGAUAGUCUCAAUUUAUACCACUUGUAAUAGGUGUACUCAAUUAAUUACUUGUAUUACUUGUGAGAGCUUCUUGUGUCCUAAGAAUAAUUCAAGAGCUGGGAUAAACAGGGUGGACAAGCUCCUGACCCUUAAAAAAAUGUAUAUCCUCUUUGGAGGAGAUAAACAAUUAAAACAUACACAAAUAAAACAGUUUCACAUA